AGCAGAAGCCAUCCCCUCACCGCUGUCCCACUCAGAGGUGGCCCAGGCAGCGCAGCCUGCGACUCUCGGUGCAUUGUGUUGGAGGGAACCCGGGAGCUCCUUGACUCCAGCUUCAAGUUCUCCAGCCCAGGGCAGCUCCUGAAAGAAGCAGCUCAAUCCAGUUUGUUGGACUAAAGAUGCUGGACACAGUGCAGGAGUGGCUCUCAGGGGUGAUUUCUGGCUUCUUUCAUGUAUGCAAGAUUCUCAUCUUCAAAACUCUUCUGUAGGAGGUUUGGGGGCUGGAAGUCCAAGAUCAAGGUGCCAGCUGGUUUGGAGUCUCUGGAGGCCCCUCUCCUGGGCUGGCGGACGACUGCCUUUCCUGAGGGCCACACUUACUCUUCUUAGGAGGACACCAGUCAGGUUGAAUUGGGACACACCGAAAAACCCUUGCUUUCACUCAGUCACCCUUUCCUGUCUCUCAGUACAGCCCUGUGCCAGGGACUACAGUUUCAAUUCACAGAUUUUGAAGGGUCAGAGUUCAGCCUGUGGCUGGUACCCACCUACUAAGUCAUCCACACAUGUGAGAAAUAAACACCCCAG